AUUGAACGCUGGCGGCACGCCUAACACAUGCAAGUCGAGCGGCAGCGCGAUAUGUAGCAAUACAUAUUGGCGGCGAGCGGCGGACGGGUGAGGAACACGUAGGAACCUACCCUCGAGUGGGGGAUAACCAAGGGAAACUUUGGCUAAUACCGCAUGAUUUCGAGAGAGCAAAGCUGCCGCAAGGUGGCGCUCGAGGAGGGGCCUGCGUCCGAUUAGCUAGUUGGUGAGGUAAGAGCUCACCAAGGCGAUGAUCGGUAACUGGUCUGAGAGGACGACCAGUCACACUGGGACUGAGACACGGCCCAGACUCCUACGGGAGGCAGCAGUGGGGAAUAUUGGACAAUGGGGGCAACCCUGAUCCAGCGAUGCCGCGUGAGUGAAGAAGGCCUUCGGGUCGUAAAGCUCUUUAGGUUGGGAAGAAGAGUGAUGGAGGAAAUGCUAUCACUUUGACGGUACCGACAGAAUAAGCACCGGCAAACUCUGUGCCAGCAGCCGCCGCAG
rnacentral:rRNA from 1 species